CAGCAGCCACGGUAAUACGUAGGGUGCAAGCGUUAAUCGGAAUUACUGGGCGUAAAGCGUGCGCAGGCGGUGUUGUAAGACUGAUGUGAAAUCCCCGGGCUCAACCUGGGAACUGCAUUGGUGACUGCAACGCUGGAGUGCAGCAGAGGGGGAUGGAAUUCCGCGUGUAGCAGUGAAAUGCGUAGAUAUGCGGAGGAACACCGAUGGCGAAGGCAAUCCCCUGGGCCUGCACUGACGCUCAUGCACGAAAGCGUGGGGAGCAAACAGGAUUAGAUACCCCCGUAGUCCCUGUCUCUUAUAC
rnacentral:rRNA from 1 species